rnacentral:tRNA from 1 species
GGGGCUAAAUUUAGUGAUAGAAAGUUUGGCCGAUAACCGAAUUGUUAUAGGUUUGAUUCCUUUUGGUUCUU